CUCUGCCCCCAGGUCUGAUGGGCUUUCCACCCUGUUUCUGAUUUCCUAAUGUUAUUAUGUACACAGACAGGUCUGGGAGAUAGGAUGAGAGUUGGGAUAACUUUCAGACUCUGAGCAUCUGCUCAACAGGUAUGCAUAAAACCUGUUCUGUGUGACAGACACUCUGAGGUGUUACAAAACAAUUAGAAAUAGAGGCAGAUAUGGUGGCUCAGACCUAAAGUUCUAGAACUCAAGACUGAAGCAGGAGGAUCUCAAGUUCUGGGCCAGCCUGGGCUACAGAGACCUGUCUCAACCCCCAGCUCACUGUUCCCGAAAAAAAGAAACUCCAUGAAAGCACCUCCGGCUCAGAACGUAACUGACCAGCCCUGUAUCUUCCACAUAUGCCUUGAUCCUUUAAAAUAUAGGGACCCUUUCCCCUCCCUUAUUUUAGCCGAGUAUUACUGUGCCCUCUGGCAUUUCAAAACUCUCCUUCUGUUCAGGCAUCUGUUUACACUCUGCCACUUCUCUUCUGGAUUUCCAGCUUUGGCAUUCACUCCUAAAUCAGCCUCUUGGGCUGCUUUCGACAGCUCUCUCCUCAGCUCACAAAGCCUGCUCCUUUCCUGCUCCUCGAUGUCAUUUUUAACUCUCUUCUCUUUCUUCUUCUUUUUUUGCAUGCCUUUCUAUCCUACCAUCCCAACCUUACUGCCUACUGCCUCCUGAGGUCACUUCCUCUUGCUUUUGUUAGGUUUUGACAAGCCUAUGACACUCACAAAGUAGUCUGUGACAAUUGUCCCGAGCUAAGAAUAGCUUCAGAGAAGCAGAGUCACUACCAGAGACAGGAGUCCUACAGAUAUGACUCCAUCCAGAACCCUAUCCCACAUGUGACGCAGAGGGGCAAGUUGUUCCUGUAUGGGUCUCAAUAUGGUAAUGCCAGCUGCUUCUGACAUCAUGGAGGAGGGACCCUGUCAGGUUGCCAAGGCAACCAAGCAAUUUAUGACAUCAGAGGCUUGAAGUGUUUGGUUCUCUGGAGGGGUGGGAGGUGCUGGGAAGAUUCAAGUUCCUGUCAGUUGCAGUAAAUGGGAAUUAUACUUUUUCAUCUCUUUUCUGUGUUCUCCUGGCUUGGCAGUAAAACAGGAAGAGGCUGACAGAAUGAACGCUGAUUUUCACCGUUUCCUUUGGCCAGACAUUUCUUUAACUCGUGUGUUUACUGAACCUGGUUUCUCCUUCCAUCAUCGGCCUCAUCUUUUUAUCCGUCUAAGCUCCUGUGGUCUGGAAAAACAAUGAUGGAUUUAAACCCACGAUAAACUCUCCAAUCCAUUAUCCACCUUUACCAUUCUUUAGAUGGAAUGAGCACGGCCCUCGCACAAGAUAGGUUUUCUGAGAAUAAUAAAACCUGUCUCAUAAAGAAUGUUGCUGAAUCCAAAGAGAAAAAUACCAGGAUCCCAGAAGGAAAAUGAGCUAAAAAGUGAAGAAAAAGCCACGGGGCUACCAGGUAGGGUGGAGCUCAGAGUCCUAGAGAAUAUCCCCUUUCAGAAUUAAAGUUGACAGUUAGCUAUGGCACUGACAGGUGAAGGAGUUGUAUGACCCUGGAAGAUCAUUAAAUUGAUUUCUUAGCCU